AUUGAACGCUGGCGGCGUGGCUAAAGCAUGCAAGUCGAGCGAACCCGCAAGGGUGAGCGGCGGACGGGUUAGUAAUACGAUCGAACGUGCCCUGAGGCGGGGGAUAGGCGUGGGAAACUGCGCGUAAUACCCCAUGAUCUCUCCGGAGCAAAGGUUUACCACCUUGGGAUCGGCGAUCGUCCUAUCAGCUAGUUGGCGGGGUAAAGGCCCACCAAGGCUAUGACGGGUAGCAGGUGNGAGAGCACGACCUGCAACAUCGGACUGAGACACUGCCCGGACUCCUACGGGAGGCUGCAGCGACGAAUCUUCCGCAAUGGGCGCAAGCCUGACGGAGCGACGCCGCGUGUGGGAUGAAGCGCCUUCGGCGU
rnacentral:rRNA from 1 species